rnacentral:rRNA from 1 species
AGCGAACGCUGGCGGCAGGCUUAACACAUGCAAGUCGAGCGGGCGUAGCAAUACGUCAGCGGCAGACGGGUGAGUAACGCGUGGGAACGUACCUUUUGGUUCGGAACAACACAGGGAAACUUGUGCUAAUACCGGAUAAGCCCUUACGGGGAAAGACUUAUCGCCGAAAGAUCGGCCCGCGUCUGAUUAGCUAGUUGGUGAGGUAACGGCUCACCAAGGCGACGAUCAGUAGCUGGUCUGAGAGGAUGAUCAGCCACAUUGGGACUGAGACACGGCCCAAACUCCUACGGAGGCAGCAGUGGGAAUAUUGGACAAUGGGCGCAAGCCUGAUCCAGCCAUGCCGCGUGAGUGAUGAAGGCCCUAGGGUUGUAAAGCUCUUUGUGCGGGAAGAUAAUGACGGUACCGCAAGAAUAAGCCCCGGCUAACUUCGUGCCAGCCGCCGCAGUAAU